AGUGUUCUGGACCAGCACAGUAGACGAUUAAGGAACCUGUGGCUGGAAGUCCUACAUCACAGAGGGGGAUGUGGCUGGAAGUCUACAUCACAGAGCGGAGCGGGGUGUGUGGCUGGAAGUCUACAUCACAGAGGGGGAGUGUGGCUGGAAAGUCUACAUCACAGAGGGGAGUGUGGCUGGAAGUCUACAUCAUAGAUCGGAGCGGGGUGUGUGGCUGGUAGGUCUACAUCAUAGAUCGGAGCGGGUUGUGUGGCUGGUAGGUCUACAUCAUAGAUCGAAGCGGGAUGUGGGCUGGUAGGUCUACAUCAUACAUCGGAGCGGGGUGUGUGGCUGGUAGGUCUACAUGACAGAGCGGAGCGGGGGGUGUGGCUGGUAGGUCUACAUCAUAGAUCGGAGCGGGGUGUGUGGCUGGUUGGUCUACAUCAUAGAUCGGAGCGGGGUGUGGAUGGUAGGUCUACAUCAUAGAUCGGAGCGGGGUGUGUGGCUGGUAGGUCUACAUCAUAGAUCGGAGCGGGGUGUGUGGCUGGUAGGUCUACAUCAUAGAUCGGAGCGGGUGUGUUGGCUGGUAGGUCUACAUCCAUAGAUCGGAGCGGGGUGUGUGGCUGGUAGGUUACAUCACAGUGUGGAGCGGGGUGUGUGGCUUGGUAGGUUACAUCACAGUGUGGAGUGGGGUGUGUGGCUGGUAGGGUCUAUAUCAUAGAGCGGAGCGGGGUGUGUGGCUGGUAGGUUACAUCACAGUGUGGAGUGGGGUGUGUGGCUGGUAUAGGUCUAUAUCAUAGCUUGGAGGUGGGGUGUGUGGCUGGUAGGUUUACCAUCAUAGAUCGGAGCGGGGUGUGUGGUGGUAGGUUACAUCACAGAGCGGAGCGGGGUGUGUGGCUGGUAGGUCUACAUCAUAGAUCGGAGCGGGUGUGUGGCUGGUAAGUCUACAUCAUAGAUCGGAGGCGGGUGUGGUGGCUGGUAGGUCUACAUCAUAGAUCGGAGUGGGUGUGUUGGCUGUAGGUCUACAUCAUAGAUCGGAGCGGGGUGUGUGCUGGUAGGUCUACAUCAUAGAUCGGAGCGGGGUGUGUGGCUGGUAGGUCUACAUCACAGAGCGGAGCGGGGUGUGUGGCUGGUAGGUCUACAUCACAGAGCGGAGCGGGUGUGUGGCUGGUAGGUCUACAUCACAGAGCGGAGCGGGUGUGUGGCUGGUAGGUUACAUCACAGAACAGAGCGGGGGAGUGUGGCUGGUAGGUUACAUCACAGUGUGGAGCGGGGUGUGUGGCUGGUUGGUCUACAUCAUAGAUCGGAGCGGGGUGGUGUGGCUGGUAGGUCUACAUCACAGAGCGGAGGCGGGUGUGUGGCUGGUAGGUUACAUCACAGUGUGGAGCGGGGGUGUGUGGCUGUAGGUUACAUCACAGAACAGAGCGGGGUGUGUGGCUGGUAGGUCUACAUCACAGAGCGGAGCGGGGUUGUGUGGCUGUAGGUCUACAUCAUAGAUCGGAGCGGGGAGGGUGGCUGGUUGGUCAACAUCAUAGAUCGAGCGGGGUGUGUGGCUGGUAGGUCUACAUCACAGAGCGGAGCGGGGUGUGUGGCUGGUAGGUCACAAUCACAGAGCGGAGCGGGGUGUGUGGCUGGUUGGUCUACAUCAUAGAUCGGAGCGGGGAGGGUGGCUGGUUGGUCAACAUCAUAGAUCGGAGCGGGGUGUGUGGCUGGUAGGUCUACAUCACAGAGCGGAGCGGGUGUGUGGCUGGUAGGUCUACAUCAUAGAUCGGAGCGGGUGUGUGGCUGGUAGGUCUACAUCACAGUGUGGAGCGGGGUGUGUGGCUGGUUGGUCUACAUCACAGAGCGGAGCGGGGUGUGUGGCUGGUAGGUCCUACAUCAUAGAUCGGAGCGGGUGUGUGGCUGGUAGGUCUACAUCACAGUGUGGAGCGGGUGUGUUGCUGGUAGGUUACAUCACAGUGUGGAGCAGGUGUGUGGCUGGUUGGUUAAUCACAGUGUGGAGCGCGGUGUGUUGGCUGUGGUGUAUGGUCUACAU
rnacentral:lncRNA from 1 species